UUUGAUACAAAAUACAUGAACCUUAGAGUACAAGCUCGCAACAAAGCUGUGGCAGGGGAAUACUCUGAUCCUGUGACUCUGGAAACCAAAGCAUUUGUGUUCAGUUUGGACAGUACUUCAUCUCAUCUGAACUUGAAAG